UUCUUAGCUUGCUCAGGUUGAUGGGAAAGACGCGUCAGCCUGAGACCAGGCCAGCGGAAAGUCCAGGCCGACCGACGAACCCAGUUCGUUUGCCGAGGGGUCGGCAAGCGGUCACCAACACUACUCAACCACUAAGCAAAAUAGUUAAACAUGCAAGCAACUAGCUAACACACAGGCACACGUAGCUGCGCUACCACGACGGCCUCUCCUCGUAGAAGCAGGCAGAGACCAUCGCCAGCAUCACAGCGACAGCAUCCACUACACAGCAGCAGCACCAGCAGCAGCAGAAGUUUCAGCUGAAUCCUCCAUCUUAUGGUAGCGAGAACUAACAUUAUAUCUCGCGCACUGUCCUGACUGCUUCCGAUUCCUCUGUCUUGCCCCUGUUUCUGUUGUGAUAGAGUGAUGCAGUUGUUGCUGUUGUUGUUGUUGUUGCAAAGAUCGCCAUAAGGGUCGCCAAUGAAGUGAACAACAAAGAAUGCGACCCACGAAGUCGUCUAUGGCUGGUCUAAAUCAUCUGGCCGAUCUGUAGUGUUGCUCGUUUCAACUGCUCGAGGUUAGCUGGUUUCAAUCGGUGCUUGUUAUCUGUGCAUAGUAGAUAUUUACUAGCUGCCCGUACACCAGUUGCAAUAUAAGAGGCCUAUAGUUGUCAUCAGUAUCGUUUAUGCGAGCGUACUAGUCAACUUCAUUCUCAUUUUUGAAACGAUAAUGACACGACAGCGAUACGCCGUUCAUUGCGCGACGCUAAGAAACAACGAAAACACUAGCAGACGGACAACUGUUUACUUCGUGGUAAUGUUGCUAAUUCCAUCUGCCUCUAAUGCACAGACGUACACAAACUCAUUCACGUACAAACUUACUUCGUGACAACAAUUUCGUUGACAGUACGACGAAAACUAAAUUAAUGAAGACUGGCAUUUCGCCUCGCGUCCCCCUAACUACGGCCGGUGCUGUUCAUGGCAGCAUCAACAACAACAAUAACAACAACAACAGCAGCAGCGGCAACGGCAACAGGCAGGCACUCACAACACAGCACAACAACAGCACCAGCGGAAAAAAACACCAACACAGAGUAGUCGAGUAGCAGCAGUUUAGAAGUUGUAGUGAUGGGCAAUCUCUCGCGUGGCCUGCCAGUCGGCCCAUUUGUUGGCCAGCUCUCAACCAACCGAAGCGGCAACAACGCUAAUACUCGCAUUUACGGUGACUGCAAAUAGCAGAAACCUACCCAGCAACAAAACUAUUUCUUUCAGGACAGCAUCACGUCUAAAAUGGUUUCAUCUAUUUUUAUUGAUACUGCCGCUGCGGCCGAUGUUUCUAGUAAAUAAUACUCGAUACGGAGAGCUAAGAGCGACUGUCAACAGCGUUAGCUGGACAUCAGGUCAUUUUUGGCUCGUUAACGAAAUUUUAAACAGCGAAGUGUCUAGGUGAGACACUUUCGUCUAUUGUAGGAUCGCUUUGUCAGUUGUUAGACAUGCACGUUAAAUGUGCAAAGCAUGUUGCACGAUUUCUUCGCACGCAAUGAUAGCUAUCGUAAUGGGGGAUACGAAGAAGCGAAGAAUCAAAAAGUGUUUUCAGUUUGUUCGUUCGGCUUUCGCUCGAACAAACCAGCUUUGAGGCGCAGUGUUAUAUCAGACGUUUGGUGCGUCCAACACGCAGCAGAAGCAAGUCUGUUGCCAUUAAACGUCCAGCGGUCGGGGCUAUAAACACAAAGACGAUAUGCGGGUAGCCUACCAUAGAGCUGAUGCAGUCUAUGUACUCCAACUAAUUAUUGCAUGGCAAACGCAGGCAAUUCUCUUAAGUCAAUCAGUUGUCCUAAAUACACGCUUUGUACGCUAGUUGCAAUAAAUCAGCUGUAGGCUCUUACAUAUCGUUAGCAGGUAUCUGGCUCGUAGUUGGUAAGUUGUCCUAUAAUCCUUCUCGGAAAAACAGCGGGCCUAAAGCAAACCGACGAUCGAGCCGAUGUGAAUAGGUUCGUGUCCUGCAGCAGCACCGCUGCUGCAACUGUGCACUACUGAAACAACCACGGUUAAUUUUAGCAGCUGCAGCAGGAGGCUUUCGUCGUCAGCCAGCCAGUUAAUAUCAACGCUGACGGACGCCACCGUCGUCUUUCUUAUUCGUUUGUCGAUCCCUUUCUACUCUUCCUCUCAAUAUUGCAGUCUUAACACAAGUUAUUGUUGUUGCUACUACUGCUGUUGCUGCUGACCAGUCGGUGGCCAGCCCAACGAUCCAACAGCAGCAAAAGAUGCGAGUAGGGAUCGCUAUUACGCUGUCAGGGUCGCCGAUUGCCAUCACUGCAGGCACUAGGCACACAUCCACUAAUGACUAAACAGGCUAUACGAAUAACACACAGGCUAACUUAGGAGAGCGGGGCAGGACACCACUGCUGUGGGUGUUUUAGCUACCUCAAAGAAGAUUCGUGUGCGUGCGUGCGUGUGUGAGAGCUGUCCUGCUCCUUUGAUUCCCCCUACCCUGUAUAACGUCGUACGUUCGCUCAGUCGCUCAUUCCCGUCGUCGUGAAAAAGUACAGCCAAACGUCGAUCCAAGCACGACGAUUUGGCGUGCUAGACUAGCUGGACGAUUGGAUGGCUAGCGGGCUGACUGGCUGGGUUCGGAACGCGUUUUCGUCAGUUGGCCGUUUGCAGAAGGAGCUGAUACUAGCCAAUGGUUCAGGCAAUACAAUGAAUGGCAAGUUGACAAGGUACUAAUUAACAUUCGCUGCGAGAUGGGAUACAACUGCCACUGCUGCUGCUGAUACUAUGCUACGCCGUAGUCACGGGGUCGUCCAGGAUUCGUCCAAAUUACUGUUGCGGUAGG